UCUAGUACCACAUCUGCCAAACGCCGGCCACCAUGCUUCCUGCCAUAUGGACUAAACUCUUGAAACUGUGUGAAAUAUCAGACUCUCAUGAGGAGACUUUGGGAUCUGGAACCUAGGAAGUUUUGAGCCGGUAUCACACGUGCGGACACCCCAGCCUCGGCCAUCAUUAGUGCGGAAGAUGCAGAGAUCGUAGCGGAUGCCUUUCUGGACUACACGGUUUGGGCAGUCAUAGCCACAGCAACAGCGGGAGUUGCACUCGUAGAUGGGCUGCCCAGCUUUCAG
rnacentral:lncRNA from 1 species